rnacentral:lncRNA from 1 species
AAAGUCCCCCCACCCCCUUGACAGAACGCCCCUUCUGACUCCAGAGGUCCUUUAUCGAGUGCCAGGCAUUGGUCUAGGGGCAUUUGAAAAAGAUUCACUGAAGGACAUUUUUAAGAGUUCGCUUUCUCAGAGGGCAGCUUCUCAAACUCAUUCGCUGGUUUCUUUUCCUCUUUCCGCCUGUUUAAGGAAUAUAGGAGGAUUGUAUGCCCUGGCCUCCCUGUGAUGGGGUUGAACUACAUGACAUGUUCUCCGAAUUAAGUGUGAGCAUAGCAUUUAAUUGUUGAUGCAAGACCUUCCAGAACUCUUUUUCUCUUUGCCAUGGCAAUCAUCAGUGUUCCAGAGAGCAUAUGCACGAUCAGCCUUGGUAUUGGAGGGAAGAUGAUGCGGAACAGAGUCCCAGUCACAUCAUGAAGGACAUGUAAAAUGCUGUAGAAGAACCUCUUCUGCAAGACCAUUCAUUCAUGCCUUGAGACAGUAUGAAUCAAGCUGACUUUUUUUUUUUCCAAGGAGUUUUUAAACUAUAUAUGUGACACCCCGAUGAAUAAGAAGAGCAGCCAGCUGAGAAGGGGAACUCUACAAAGCUAUUUUUUCAACAGCUGUGACUGACCCACUCACCUCACAGGACUCCAGUGGGCACUAAUGGAAAUGGAGAGAAAGACAAACAAGAUGACCCUGUUAGCUCCCUGUGUACUGCAGAUGUGGUGUAGGCUGUGCUCCGAACUUAGAGAGAAGAAGGAAGAGAGGACAACCCCUCUAUCCCCAAAUUCUCUUCCAACCCUGUUCUGCCAGCCAUCUGAUUGGAAGCAAGAGGGAAGGGAGGCCUGUGGUGACCUCUCUCUUGACAACAGGGGAAAACCUGACCCUAGAAAAAUCAGCUCAAUCAAUAUCAUGUGAUCUUAUCAAAGCAAGCAACCCUACUCCCUAAACUGGUGGAAACGGUGUGAAUGUCAACUAGAGUUCUAUACUUUAAAAACAACAAAAAUAUUGCAAAUUUU